rnacentral:rRNA from 1 species
GACCUCAGAUCAGGCAAGGCUACCCGCUUAAUUUAAGCAUAUUAAUACAGCAGGAGGAAAAGAAACUAACAAGGAUUCAAAGGGC